AUUGAACGCUGGCGGCAGGCCUAACACAUGCAAGUCGAGCGGAUGAAGGGGGCUUGCUCCUGGAUUCAGCGGCGGACGGGUGAGUAAUGCGCAGGAAUCUACCUCGUAGUGGGGGAUAACGUCUCGAAAGGGGCGCUAAUACCGCAUACGUUCUGAGGAAGAAAGCAGGGGACCUUCGGGCCUUGCGCUAUGAGAUGAGCUUGCGUCCGAUUAGCUAGUUGGUGGGGUAAAGGCCUACCAAGGCGACGAUCGGUAACUGGUCUGAGAGGAUGAUCAGUCACACUGGAACUGAGACACGGUCCAGACUCCUACGGGAGGCAGCAGUGGGGAAUAUUGGACAAUGGGGGCAACCCUGAUCCAGCCAUGCCGCGUGUGUGAAGAAGGCCUCGG
rnacentral:rRNA from 1 species